GCCGGGUGCGGUGGCGCGUGCCUGUAGUCCCAGUUACUCCGGAGGCUGAGGUGGGAGGAUCACUUGAGUCCAGGAGUUCUUGGGUGCAGUGUGAUAUGCCAAUUGGGUGUCCGCAUUAAGUUCCGAAUCAAUAUGGUGACCUCCCGGGAGCAGGGGACCACCAGGUUGCCUAAGGAGGGGUGAACCAGCCCGGGUCGGAAAUGGAGCAGAUCAAAACUCCCGUCCCAAUCAGUAGUGGGAUCAUGCCUGUGAAUAGCCACUGCACUCCAGCCUGGGCAACAUAGCGAGACUCCAUCUCU
rnacentral:SRP_RNA from 1 species